UACGAAGGGGACUAGCGUUGUUCGGAAUCACUGGGCGUAAAGCGCACGUAGGCGGAUAGUGUCAGUCAGGGGUGAAAUCCCGGGGCUCAACCUCGGAACUGCCUUUGAUACAGCAUGUCUUGAGUCCGAUAGAGGUGGGUGGAAUUCCUAGUGUAGAGGUGAAAUUCGUAGAUAUUAGGAAGAACACCGGUGGCGAAGGCGGCCCACUGGAUCGGUACUGACGCUGAGGUGCGAAAGCGUGGGGAGGCGAACAGG
rnacentral:rRNA from 1 species